rnacentral:rRNA from 1 species
GACGAACGCUGGCGGCGUGCCUAAUACAUGCAAGUAGAACGCUGAAGGAGGAGCUUACUUCUCUGGAUGAGUUGCGAACGGGUGAGUAACGCGUAGGUAACCUGCCUGGUAGCGGGGGAUAACUAUUGGAAACGAUAGCUAAUACCGCAUAAGAGUAGAUGUUGCAUGACAUUUACUUAAAAGGUGCAAUUGCACCACUACCAGAUGGACCUGCGUUGUAUUAGCUAGUUGGUGGGGUAACGGCUUACCAAGGCGACGACACAUAGCCGACCUGAGAGGGUGAUCGGCCACACUGGGACUGAGACACGGCCCAGACUCCUACGGGAGGCAGCAGUAGGGAAUCUUCGGCAAUGGACGGAAGUCUGACCGAGCAACGCCGCGUGAGUGAAGAAGGUUUUCGGAUCGUAAAGCUCUGUUGUAAGAGAAGAACGAGUGUGAGAGUGGAAAGUUCACACUGUGACGGUAUCUUACCAGAAAGGUACGGCUAACUACGUGCCAGCCGCCGCAGUAA